rnacentral:lncRNA from 1 species
AAGCUGCGAAGAUGGCGGAGUAAGGUGUGCUGCUGUAAACUGGCCUCUGGGCUGGGGGUGGGCAGCCCCCGGGAGGCCGAGUGCAUCUGUUGGACUGUGCGAGGAGAAGAAAAAACAGGGAUCGGCCAGAGGAAAGGAACUAACCGAACAGUCUUCGUCCCUACCUUACAGUGGGCAGUACUCAUCUACGCUAAAGCAAAGUGUCAUGUGUGUCCGUAUGAAGAGACCACCAAACAGGCUUUGUGUUCCUUAUCACAGGAAGAAAAUUUUCCUUGACCUUUAGGUGCUUUUAUAUUCAUCUCAAAAGCAAAAUUCUGAACUCAGGACUUGGCAAGUGUCUCUAUGCUGUCUCCUAGAGUGGGUAGUCCUGCUUCUUUUACCCAGUUACCUUCCCUAUUCUUGAAAUGUGGCUAUCACUUCUCUACACGUUACCUCCAUGAUUUGGAAUGGAAAGGCCACUUUCCUUUUUGUUCUGCCUCUCAAAUUCAACACAGAGGAGCUCUUUUCAUUCCAAGCAAGAAGACUAAAGAAGUAGCAAG